CCUACGGGGGGCUGCAGUGGGGAAUAUUGGACAAUGGGGGCAACCCUGAUCCAGCCAUGCCGCGUGUGUGAAGAAGGCCCUCGGGUUGUAAAGCACUUUCAGUGAGGAAGAACGCCUGGUGGUUAAUACCCAUCAGGAAAGACAUCACUCACAGAAGAAGCACCGGCUAACUCCGUGCCAGCAGCCGCGGUAAUACGGAGGGUGCGAGCGUUAAUCGGAAUUACUGGGCGUAAAGCGCGCGUAGGUGGCUUGAUAAGCCGGUUGUGAAAGCCCCGGGCUCAACCUGGGAACGGCAUCCGGAACUGUCAAGCUAGAGUGCAGGAGAGGAAGGUAGAAUUCACGGUGUAGCGGUGAAAUGCGUAGAGAUCGGGAGGAAUACCAGUGGCGAAGGCGGCCUUCUGGACUGACACUGACACUGAGGUGCGAAAGCGUGGGUAGCAAACAGGAUUAGAUACCCGGGUAGUC
rnacentral:rRNA from 1 species